UGAGUUGCUAUUCCAGUUCACGACUCCCCAACAGAGGGACUUGGAGGUGAUUAAGGUGAAGGUUGCGUUCCAGUUUCCUGAUUAGGUGCUCUCCGG